GGCUGGUCUGAUUGCAGUGGUGUUUACAACGAAUUGAUCACAGCCAGUUAUAGCUUUCUCUGUUCCUUCUCCACUCCCACUGUGUUACCUGACUAAACUUUU
rnacentral:Y_RNA from 1 species